GAGGCAGGCAGAGAGAACACAUUAGACUACAUUCACUGAGUUUUCCUGAGGCUGUAACACACUCAUUUAAGAGGUACCAUCCUCAUUUACAGUUUGUCCUUCCUGUUCAUCUCUCUUGUCAGCCAAUGAGGAAAGAGCCGGAGGUUGUCACGGUAACCCUGAAGAAGCACAACGGCAUGGGCCUCAGCAUCGUGGCUGCCAAGGGUGCUGGUCAGGAGAAACUGGGCAUCUACAUCAAGUCUGUUGUCAAAGGUGGAGCAGCUGACAUGGACGGACGUUUGGCAGCAGGUGACCAGUUGUUGAGUGUUGAUGGGCGCAGUCUGGUCGGCCUAUCGCAAGAGAGGU